rnacentral:misc_RNA from 1 species
CACGUAGGUGGCAAGCGUUGUCCGGAAUUAUUGGGCGUAAAGCGCGCGCAGGCGGUCCUUUAAGUCUGAUGUGAAAGCCCCCGGCUCAACCGGGGAGGGCCAUUGGAAACUGGGAGGCUUGAGUAUAGGAGAGAAGAGUGGAAUUCCACGUGUAGCGGUGAAAUGCGUAGAGAUGUGGAGGAACACCAGUGGCGAAGGCGGCUCCUUGGCCUAUAACUGACGCUGAGGAGCGAAAGCGUGGGGAGCGAACAGG